UUUAGCACGGCCCAGUCGUUAGACAUCCUCUGUCGUGGCCGCAUUAGCGUUAGGAAGUUCCCCUGUUGGAUAGAUAGCGUUUUCGCAUUGUCUGGCGGCUCGACAGAUUUUUCCGUUUCCCUUGUUGCGGAUGUGCUUAAUCUGGGAAAGUCAAAGACCAUUCGACAAACAGGGUUUUUUAGAAAGAAGAAACGAUUCUAUUUUCAACGUAACAGAUACAGAAACGAGAAGAGAAAAUUGAGUGAGCAAUAAAGAUGGAGAACGCGAAGGAGGAGACGAUAAACAUGCAGCUGAUCGGUUCCGAGAGCCCGUACAAGGUUAAUAAUGAAAUCGCCGGAAGUGGUCUAAAUGCAUCGGAAGUACCAAUAUCACCGACUGCAAACGUAGAAGACUACGACCCCCAUAAACAUCGAAAUAGGCCAAAUCCAACUUCAAACGCAGAGACCCUGAUACAUUUACUGAAAGGAAGCCUGGGAACCGGAAUUCUGGCAAUGCCGAACGCAUUCUGCAACAGUGGACUUGUUACCGGUGUGAUAGCCACAGUGAUCAUAGGAGUGUUAUGCACUUAUUGCUUGCACGUACUAGUGAAAGCUCAGUACAGACUGUGUAAACGGUUAAGAGUUCCUAUAUUGAGUUAUCCGUUGAGUAUGAAGUACGCUCUCGAGGAAGGUCCAGCGUGUGUCAAAUGGUUCGCGCCGUAUGCACCAGGACUCGUAGACGGGUUCAUGAUAGCGUAUCAAUUGGGAAUAUGCUGCGUUUAUAUCGUAUUUGUAGCGUCGAAUAUCAAGCAGGUGGCAGACCAGUACUGGGAACCUUUGGAUGUUAAAACGCACAUGCUCAUUUUAUUGCUACCGUUGAUUUUGAUCAAUUACGUUAGGAACCUGAAGUUACUGGCGCCGUUCUCCACCCUAGCGAACCUAAUCACGUUCGUUGGUCUGGCUAUGAUCCUGGUUUAUAUGUUCAAAGACUUGCCGCCGAUUAGCGAGAGAGAAAUGUUUGGGACGCUUAGGAACUUCUCUCUUUAUUUCGGGACGACGUUGUUCGCUUUGGAAGCUGUUGGAGUGAUUAUCGCACUGGAGAACAACAUGAAGACCCCACAGUACUUCGGAGGGUACUGCGGUGUUCUGAACAUAGGAAUGACGGUAAUAGUGGCUCUCUACAUUCUUAUGGGGUUCUUCGGUUACGUAAAGUACGGAGACAAGGCUGGCGGCAGUAUUACUUUCAAUUUACGCUCGGACGAAGUGAUGGCACAGAGCAUCAGGAUUAUGUUCGCUAUCGCGAUCUUUAUCACGCAUGCUCUUCAAGGAUACGUCCCUGUCGAAAUUAUAUGGAACACGUAUCUCGAUCAGAAGAUACAGAAACGGAAGAUCUUCUGGGAAUACGUGUGCAGGACUGUCAUCACUUUAAUCACUUUCACACUGGCAGUCGCUGUACCCAGAUUGGGUCUCUUCAUCUCCCUCUUCGGGGCCCUCUGCCUCUCCGCCCUGGGCAUCGCCUUCCCAGCGAUCAUCGAGAUCUGCGUACUGUGGCCAGAGAGAGAAUUCGGUCCAUGCAUGAUCAUGCUAUUAAAGAACAUUUGUCUGAUAGUGUUUGGUCUGCUGGGUCUGGUGAUCGGCACUUACGUCAGCAUCGUCGACAUCGUUAACUCCUUCAAGUGAAGCUUACGUGCGAUCUGGAAGAAACAAUCGAAGGAAGAUAAACGAAGAGAGAGGAGAGUAAGAGGAUGCUAUAUAGGGAACAUGCCGCAGCUUCUCGUCUCAGUUUAGCUUACAGCGGCGAUAUACGAGACGUGCUCCCGAAAUGAUGUCUUCGUGUCUUAAUCUGCUCUUUCAUCUUGAUAGAUCAAGUUACACGUUGUAAUAGUGUCUGAUUUUAACAGACUUGUAUCAUAUAUCAAAUCAAGUAGUGUCUGAUUUGAACAGACUUGUAUCAAAUGUCAAAUCAAGUAGUGUCUGACGUGAUCAAAGUCUAGUGUCAAAUAUCAAAUUACAUAUAGUUCGAUUUCAUCAGACUAGUAUCACAUGUUUGAUGGAACAAAAUAUUACAAUAUCCACACAGCACUUUCCAUUUCAAAUAAAUUAAAUCUUGCCUUUAAAGUUGUAGGAAUAUUGAUAAUGAUCUAUCAGUAUGAUACAGUUUACUGAAACCUGAGAAUAUCAUUUUGGGAGCUUUUCGUGUUAGGUAGACAAGCGUGCAGAGGGUCUUUUAGGGAAAUUGCGAGCGGACUAGCAUUCAGGUAAUGCUUCUCUCGCGCCAUUAUCGCCAUUAGCGCACCUUAAACAGAGUUUUUAGAUGUAUUGUUUAACUACGACCAGGAGUCGUGCAGUGUUGGGCACAAAAUGACAUUGGAUAUAAAUGCAUGUCGGUGGAAAUCAUGUAAUUUGGACUUUGCAUGUGGUUACUCGUGGAGAUAAUCAUUAUACAUGAUGAACUUGACGGACACUUAUAUAUGAUGAACCUGAUGAACAAUUAUAUAUGAUGAAUUUGAUAAAACAUUACAUAUGAUAAACCUGAUGAAUCAUUAUACAUGAUGAACCUAAUGAACUGUUAUAUAUGAUGAAUUUAAUGAACCAUCACAUAUGAUGAACCUGAUGAACUAUUAUAUAUAAUGAUUUCAGUGAACCAUUGUAUACAAUGAACCAGUCAAACCACCACAUUUGAUGAAUUUGAUGAACUAUUAUAUAUGAUGAACAUGAUGAACAGUUAUAUAUGAUGAAUUUGAUGAACCAUUACAUAUAAUGAACUUGUUGAACCAUUAUAUAUAAUGAUUUCAGUGACCCAUUGUAUACAAUGAAUCAGAUACACCAUUAUAUAUGACAAAUUUGAUGAACCAUUACAUAUGAUGAACCUGGUGAACUAUUACAUAUGGUAAACUUGAUAAUCCAUUAUACAUUCAUGAUGAAUUUGUUGAAUCUUGGUGAACCUGAUGAACUAUUACACAUAAUGAACCUGAUGAAAUAUUACAUAUGAUGAACCUGAUGAUCCAUUAUACAUUCAUGAUAAAUUUGUUGAAUCUUGGUGAACCUGGUGAACCAUCACAUAUAAUAAACUUGAUAAACUAUUAUAUAUGAUAAUCCUUAUGAUCCAUUAUACAUUCAUGAUGAAUUUGUUGAAUCUUGGUGAACCUGGUGAACUAUAAUGAACCUGAUAAAACAUUACAUAUGAUAAAUCUGAUAACCCAUUAUACAUUAAUGAUGAAUAUGUUGAACCACAGUGAACCUAAUGUACUCAAAUCAUCACAUAUGACAUAGUUGAGUCAUUAUAUCGGAUAAAUCUGAAGAAUUAUACCUGCCGAGCGAAAAAAGAAGUAUGUACCAUAGAAAUAAGGCUAAGCAAACAUUUCCCUUUUGAAUCAGGGACACGAAACAUCCAACGUUGCCGAAUUAAACUGUACUCACGCUACUUAAAGUCGUUAAUUAGGAUUAUACAUACAUAAUUAAACACAUACGGUGCCUAUACUAAUUUCUAGUUGCUCGUUAGUCGCACUGCCAAAGGAGCAAUUCAGCAGAAACAAAAAUUAGUAUUCUCCUGAAUGUCUCUUUUUAUCUGAAAGUAUUUUAAGCGAAUAGAGCUAAGUAGAUGAUUUAUAAGAGUAAAGUGUUAGAUAUUGUUAAGAAGCGGAAUUUUCCUAUUCGAAAGGGAAAAUUACUGUUAGAUACUUGCUGAGAACACUUUAACACUUUGAUUAAUUUUUUUUUUUAUAUUUAAGUAGCAUUGUAGCUGGAUAUUCGUAGAAGUAAGCACUUUAACACUUUGUCACUUUUGGGAAAUUGGGAUCGGUUAUAAUUGGUAAUUUAUAAUUGGUAGCUUAUUAUGGUUAUUGAUAUACAGGGUGUUCGGAUAGUGGUGGAAAUAAUUUCGGGGGGAGGUAGUUGAGGUGGUAGUGAACAACUUUUUCCUUUAACGAAAUGCUGACUGAAGCUUGGUUUUUAAAUUAUUAAGGAACAACAAUGGACCUAUCAGAGCGCGAGAAUAGCGCGCGCUUGGAC
rnacentral:misc_RNA from 1 species